UCGGAAUCCUGAAAAGGAUAACUGCGGAAAUUCUGGAGCUAAUACAUGCGACUAUACUCCAACGCAAGGCGGGGUGCAAUUAUUAGAACAGACCAAACGUUUUCGGACGUUGUUUGUUGACUCUGAAUACCGUCGUUUACUGUCAGUUUCGACUGACUCUAUCCGAGAAGGGUGUCUGCCCUUUCAACUAGAUGGUAAUCUAUUGGACUACCAUGGUUGUUACGGGUAACGGAGAAUUAGGGUUCGACUCCGGAGAGGGAGCCUUAGAAACGGCUACCACGUCCAAGGAAGGCAGCAGGCGCGAAACUUAUCCACUGUUGAGUAUGAGAUAGUGACUAAAAAUAUAAAGACUCAUCCUUUUGGAUGAGUUAUUUCAAUGAGUUGAAUAUAAAUUAUUCUUCGAGUAGCAAGGAGAGGGCAAGUCUGGUGCCAGCAGCCGCGGUAAUUCCAGCUCUCCUAGUGUAUCUCGUUAUUGCUGCGGUUAAAAAGCUCGUAGUUGGAUCUAGGUUACGUGCCGCAGUUCGCAAUUUGCGUUAACUGUGGUCGUGUACUUCUAUUUGCUGGUUUGAGGUGGGUUCGCCCUUCAACUGCCAGCAGGUUUACCUUGAAUAAAUCAGAGUGCUCAAUACAGGCGCUUGCUUGAAUAGCUCAUCAUGGAAUAAUGAAACAGGACUUCGGUUCUUUUUGUUGGUUCUAGAAUUGAUCUAAUGGUUAAGAGGGACAAACCGGGGCAUUCGUAUCAUUACGCGAGAGGUGAAAUUCGUGGACCGUAGUGAGACGCCCAAUAGCGAAAGCAUUUGCCAAGAAUGUCUUCAUUAAUCAAGAACGAAAGUCAGAGGUUCGAAGGCGAUUAGAUACCGCCCUAGUUCUGACCGUAAACGAUGCCAUCUCGCGAUUCGGAGGGUUCAUGCCCUACCGAGGAGCUACCCGGAAACGAAAGUCUUUCGGUUCCGGGGGUAGUAUGGUUGCAAAGCUGAAACUUAAAGAAAUUGACGGAAGGGCACCACAAGGCGUGGAGC
rnacentral:ncRNA from 1 species